rnacentral:rRNA from 1 species
UACGUAGGGUGCGCGCGUUAAUCGGAAUUACUGGGCGUAAAGCGUGCGCAGGCGGUUUUGUAAGCCAGAUGUGAAAUCCCCGGGCUUAACCUGGGAACUGCAUUUGGGACUGCAAGGCUUGAGUGCGGCAGAGGAGACUGGAAUUCCUGGUGUAGCAGUGAAAUGCGUAGAUAUCAGGAGGAAUACCGAUGGCGAAGGCAGGUCUCUGGGCUGACACUGACGCUCAUGCACGAAAGCGUGGGGAGCAAACAGG